rnacentral:tRNA from 1 species
UUUAGAGUUUAUGUAAGCUUUGAACUUACUAAAGGUAAUCACUAAUUUACCCUCUAAA